CCUACGGGAGGCUGCAGUGGGGAAUAUUGGACAAUGGGCGAAAGCCUGAUCCAGCCAUGCCGCGUGUGUGAAGAAGGCCUUCGGGUUGUAAAGCACUUUCAGUGGGGAAGAAAGCCUUGGGGCUAAUACCCUCGAGGAAGGACAUCACCCACAGAAGAAGCACCGGCUAACUCCGUGCCAGCAGCCGCGGUAAUACGGAGGGUGCGAGCGUUAAUCGGAUUUACUGGGCGUAAAGCGCGCGUAGGCGGUCUGAUAAGCCGGUUGUGAAAGCCCCGGGCUCAACCUGGGAACGGCAUCCGGAACUGUCAGGCUAGAGUGCAGGAGAGGAAGGUAGAAUUCCCGGUGUAGCGGUGAAAUGCGUAGAGAUCGGGAGGAAUACCAGUGGCGAAGGCGGCCUUCUGGACUGACACUGACGCUGAGGUGCGAAAGCGUGGGUAGCAAACAGGAUUAGAUACCCCUGUAGUC
rnacentral:rRNA from 1 species